GACGAACGCUGGCGGCGUGCUUAACACAUGCAAGUCGAACGAUGAAGCCUAGCUUGCUAGGUGGAUUAGUGGCGAACGGGUGAGUAAUACGUGAGUAACCUACCUUUAACUCUGGGAUAAGCCUGGGAAACUGGGUCUAAUACCGGAUACGACCAAUCUCCGCAUGGGGUGUUGGUGGAAAGCGUUAUGUAGUGGUUAUAGAUGGGCUCACGGCCUAUCAGCUUGUUGGUGAGGUAACGGCUCACCAAGGCGACGACGGGUAGCCGGCCUGAGAGGGUGACCGGCCACACUGGGACUGAGACACGGCCCAGACUCCUACGGGAGGCAGCAGUGGGGAAUAUUGCACAAUGGGCGCAAGCCUGAUGCAGCGACGCCGCGUGAGGGAUGACGGCCUUCGGGUUGUAAACCUCUGUUAGCAGGGAAGAAGAGAGAUUGACGGUACCUGCAGAGAAAGCGCCGGCUAACUACGUGCCAGCAGCCGCGGUAAUACGUAGGGCGCGAGCGUUGUCCGGAAUUAUUGGGCGUAAAGAGCUUGUAGGCGGUUUGUCGCGUCUGCUGUGAAGGCCGGAGCUUAACUCCGUGUAUUGCAGUGGGUACGGGCAGACUAGAGUGCAGUAGGGGAGACUGGAAUUCCUGGUGUAGCGGUGGAAUGCGCAGAUAUCAGGAGGAACACCGAUGGCGAAGGCAGGUCUCUGGGCUGUAACUGACGCUGAGAAGCGAAAGUAUGGGGAGCGAACAGGAUUAGAUACCCUGGUAGUCCAUGCCGUAAACGUUGGGCACUAGGUGUGGGGAACAUUCCACGUUUUCCGCGCCGUAGCUAACGCAUUAAGUGCCCCGCCUGGGGAGUACGGCCGCAAGGCUAAAACUCAAAGAAAUUGACGGGGGCCCGCACAAGCGGCGGAGCAUGCGGAUUAAUUCGAUGCAACGCGAAGAACCUUACCAAGGCUUGACAUAUACUGGACCGCAUCAGAGAUGGUGUUUCCCUUCGGGGCUGGUAUACAGGUGGUGCAUGGUUGUCGUCAGCUCGUGUCGUGAGAUGUUGGGUUAAGUCCCGCAACGAGCGCAACCCUCGUUCUAUGUUGCCAGCACGUUAUGGUGGGGACUCAUAGGAGACUGCCGGGGUCAACUCGGAGGAAGGUGGGGAUGACGUCAAAUCAUCAUGCCCCUUAUGUCUUGGGCUUCACGCAUGCUACAAUGGCCGGUACAGAGGGUUGCGAUACUGUGAGGUGGAGCUAAUCCCUAAAAGCCGGUCUCAGUUCGGAUUGGGGUCUGCAACUCGACCCCAUGAAGUCGGAGUCGCUAGUAAUCGCAGAUCAGCAACGCUGCGGUGAAUACGUUCCCGGGCCU
rnacentral:rRNA from 1 species